rnacentral:rRNA from 1 species
AUUGAACGCUGGCGGAAUGCUUUACACAUGCAAGUCGAACGGCAGCACGGGGGCAACCCUGGUGGCGAGUGGCGAACGGGUGAGUAAUGUAUCGGAACGUGCCCAGUCGUGGGGGAUAACGUAGUGAAAAUUACGCUAAUACCGCAUACGAUCCAUGGAUGAAAGCGGGGGAUCGCAAGACCUCGCGCGAUUGGAGCGGCAGAUAUCAGAUUAGGUAGUUGGUGGGGUAAAGGCUCACCCAGCCAACGAUCUGUAGCUGGUCUGAGAGGACGACCAGACACACUGGAACUGAGACACGGUCCAGACUCCUACGGGAGGCAGCAGUGGGGAAUUUUGGACAAGGGGCGAAAGCCUGAUCCAGCCAUUCAGCGUGCAGGAUGAAGGCCUUCGGGUUGUAAACUGCUUGUGUACGGAGCGAAAAGGCUCUCUCUAAUACGGGGGGCUCAUGACGGUACCGUAAGAAUAAGCACCGGCUAACUACGUGCCAGCCGCCGCUGUAACAC